rnacentral:rRNA from 1 species
ACUGGUGCCAGCAGCCGCGGUAAUUCCAGCUCCAAUAGCGUAUAUUAAGUUGCUGCAGUUAAAAGCUCGUAGUUGAAUUUCGGGAUCGAUAUAUCGGUCGUGCCUCGGUACGUACUGGUAUUUUCGGUUUCUACCUUCUGACGAACCUUGAUGUCAUUAAUUUGGUGUCUUGGGGAAUCAGGACUGUUACUUUGAAAAAUUAGAGUGUUUAAAGCAGGCUCACGCUUGAAUACAUUAGCAUGGAAUAAUGAAAUAGGACGUUUGAUUCUAUUUUGUUGGUUUCUAGGAUCGACGUAAUGAUUAAUAGGGAUAGUUGGGGGCAUUAGUAUUCAAUUGUCAGAGGUGAAAUUCUUGGAUUUAUUGAAGACUAACUACUGCGAAAGCAUUUGCCAAGGAUGUUUUCAUUAAUCAAGAACGAAAGUUAGGGGGAUCGAAGACGAUCAGAUACCGUCGUAGUCUUAACCAUAAACUAUGCCGACUAGGGAUCGGAUGAUGUUAAUUUUUUAAUGACUCAUUCGGCGCCUUACG